ensembl:miRNA
CCUUGAGCUCACUUUGUAGCCCAGGCUGGCCUCAAACUCUCAGUGAUCCUCCUGCCUCAGCCUCCUGAGUGCUGGGAU